rnacentral:rRNA from 1 species
CAGUAGCCGCGGGAAUACGUAGGUGGCAAGCGUUGUCCGGAAUUAUUGGGCGUAAAGGGCUCGCAGGUGGUUUCUUAAGUCUGAUGUGAAAGCCCCCGGCUCAACCGGGGAGGGUCAUUGGAAACUGGGAAACUUGAGUGCAGAAGAGGAGAGUGGAAUUCCACGUGUAGCGGUGAAAUGCGUAGAGAUGUGGAGGAACACCAGUGGCGAAGGCGACUCUCUGGUCUGUAACUGACGCUGAGGAGCGAAAGCGUGGGGAGCGAACAGGAUUAGAUACCCCGGUAGUCCCUGUCUCUUAUAC